AGCGCAGGCGGUACGGCAAGUCUGAUGUGAAAUCCCGGGGCUCAACCCCGGUACUGCAUUGGAAACUGUCGGACUAGAGUGUCGGAGGGGUAAGUGGAAUUCCUAGUGUAGCGGUGAAAUGCGUAGAUAUUAGGAGGAACACCAGUGGCGAAGGCGGCUUACUGGACGAUUACUGACGCUGAGGCUCGAAAGCGUGGGGAGCAAACA
rnacentral:rRNA from 1 species